GGGGAUGUAGCUCAGUGGAGAGCUUUCG
rnacentral:sRNA from 1 species